rnacentral:lncRNA from 1 species
GGGAAGAGCAGUUUUCCUGUGGGUCAAGGGGUGAUGGGUAUGGCUUUGGCCCUGGGAUGGCACCACCUGCUACAGGAGCAGUCCUCAGGCAGGCAAGUGUCUUCUCCUCUUAUCAGGAUCUGAGGAUAUCUAGGAACUGAAUCCUGAGGCCAACACAGCAAGCUCACCUGUGCAGAGUCAGGACAGGGACUUUUGUGAGCCUGGGGGCGGGGGUCUGUGCCUGGGCACCAGGUCCCUGCUGUACAGGUCAAGGGGAGGCCCCAGGCUCUUGCUGGGAGCUCCAUGGAAUUGAAGAGGAAGGUGAUGCCCUUCACGUAGACCAAGACACACUGUGGCUGUACUGCCCCGGUGGAUGUGCUGCCACCUGGUCUUCCUCAGGGCAUGGGAAAAGUUGCUGGGCCCUGGGUUUGGGUUUGAAGGCCUUGACCCCAUGGGGCCUCCUUCUCCCUUUCCUGGAGCCAUGCUGUGGGUGAUAGAACCAGCGGGUACCUGGUCACUCUGUGUCCCCAGAGCAGAUGGGCCGCAUCCUGCAGCGCACUGCCAUCUCCACCAACAUCAAGGAACGCCUGGACUUCUCCUGUGCCCUCUUUGGACCUGACGGGGGGCUGGUCUCUAAUGCCCCCCACAUUCCUGUGCAUCUGGGAGCCAUGCAGGAGACUGUGCAGUUCCAGGUGCGGCAGGCCCCCUCUCUAGCCUCCCUCGCUGACCCAUGUCCCUGCCCCACCCCCAUUCUGCACCUGUCUCCUGGUUUUAGAUCCAGCACUUGGGGUCUGAUCUCCACCCCGGUGAUGUGCUACUCAGCAACCACCCCAGCGCAGGGGGCAGCCAUCUUCCAGACCUGACUGUAAUCACACCGGUGAGGUUCACUGCCAGGCUACCUUUGUGGGGGUCACAGGUGGCUGACACAGCUGACUGUCACUCUCUACCCGCUAGGUAUUUUGGCCAGGUCAGACUCGGCCUGUGUUCUACGUGGCCAGCCGAGGGCAUCAUGCAGACAUUGGGGGUAUUACACCAGGCUCCAUGCCCCCGCACUCCACUGCACUGCAACAGGAGGGGGCCGUCUUUCUGUCCUUCAAGCUGGUCCAGGGGGGCGUCUUUCAGGAGGAGGGUGAGCCGGAGUGGGGCUGCGGUGGGGGUUCAGCAGGAUGGGAUACCUGGUUGCUGCCAGUGACCCAGCUGGCUGGACCCUGGGAUACAGCCCAGCAGCCCAGGUCUGCCCUGAGGCUGGGGAGUGGCAAAUGGUGACCCCGUGGUGCAGUUGCAGAUCAUCCCCCAGAGAUGAUUAGAGGUGAGAUGAAUUCUGUGUGGCCAAAGAAGUACUCCUUGGAGGUGGUUUGGGGGUAGGAAGUUGGCCAGGACACUCAAAGAGUAGAGUAUAGAAGGAAGAAGGGCCUAUUUCAGGUAGGUAGCUGCUGCAGUCCACACUGGGUUUGGGUGAAGGAUGUUUGGGAACUCAGGGCUGGUAUUGGAUGGGAUUUGGGGGGAGUGAGGGGUCAAGUUUGGAUGAAGGAGGAUGGAGGCCUUACACUGAACAGAGACAGGGAAGGUAGGGUCAGCGGAAAAGGUAGCACAUGGUCUGAGGUUACAGGGGCAUGGGAGUCCAGAGUAGCACCCCAGAACGAGGGUGGGUGAGUUGAGCAGGGUGGAGGGGUAGAAGUAACAGAGCCAUGGUCCACUUUGGGUGUCACAGACACAUAUAGGGUGACGUUGGUCAGGGGUAGCUGGGGUAGGAGGUGUGGAUCAUGGAGGAACAAGUGUAAGUGUAAGUGUAGGGGAUCAGUGCCAGGGAGCCUUGGAGACUGUAACUCAGAAGGGAAGGGGUGUUCCUGAAGAGUGUAGGAGUCUCUGGGUCAGAUCUGCAUCCCUUGCAGGAGUGAGAGGGAACCUUGUCCAGAUCUGAGAAACCUGCAGGUUGGGGGAUAGCACAGGCAGCAGUCUGAUGCUCUUUUGAGGCACUUGGCUGGGGAUGUCAGUGGGAGCUGGCAGGGCUAAGGGCAUAUCGAGGAGGAGGAAUGCCAAGGAAGUGGCUUUUCUCCUGGGAGACAUAGUAGAAGUGGGCUGGAGAAGGCAGGAGGGAUAAGGAGGGAGGAGAGUUUGCUAAGGGACCAAUAUGCCCUCUAGGCAUCUCCAGCUCCAGGGAGGUCACUGGCCAAGCUGCCCUUAGGCGCUGGCUAUCAGAAGGAUAAAAGGAUGGAGGCUGGUGCUUCAGGGAAUGGGAGUCAGCAGGACAGGUGGGGAUUCAGUGGAGGGCCAACAGUGCCCAGUGGGGGUGCAGUGGGGCUGGAAUAGGGCACCAGGUGGCUGAGGAGAUGGGGGCAGCUCAGUGGUGACCUCAUCCAUUCCAUCCAGCGGUGACAGAGGCCUUACGGGCACCAAGCAAGAUCUCUGGUUGUAGUGGAACUAGGAAUCUGCAUGACAAUCUGUCGGAUCUCCGUGCCCAGGUGGCAGCCAACCAAAAGGGCAUACGGUUGGUGGGGGAGCUCAUCGGGCAAUAUGGCUUGGAUGUUGUGCAGGCCUACAUGGGCCACAUUCAGGUGGGUCUAGGGGCAGGGAGGUGGGAGCCCCACUCUGCCUGCCCAAGGUGCAGGGCCACUCUGAAAGUAGCAUGGCUGCCAUGGGACCCUCUCCCUGCCAGGCAAAUGCAGAGCUGGCAGUGCGUGACAUGCUGCGGGCCUUUGGAACCUCCCGGCAGGCUCGGGGACUACCCCUUGAGGUGUCUGCGGAGGACCACAUGGAUGAUGGCUCGCCUAUACACCUCCGAGUUCAAAUCAACCUGAGUCAGGUCAGACCUAGUUGGGAGACAGGGAGGGAGCUUUCUGCGCCACCCCACUGCUGAUGCCUUCACCCUUCUCCUUCCUGGGCAGGGCAGUGCUGUAUUUGACUUCAGUGGCACUGGGCCGGAGGUGUUUGGCAACCUCAAUGCCCCGCGGGCCAUAACGCUGUCGGCCCUCAUCUACUGCUUGCGCUGUCUUGUGGGCCGUGACAUCCCACUCAACCAGGUUCGCAGGGGGGUGGAGUCUGAGGUCGGUCCCUACCAGUGCGAGGUCAGCAGGUGAACCUGAGGCUGGAGGUCACCCUGAGUGUGUGUGGGGUCAAGGUCAGCCCAACGUGGACUGAGCCCGGGAGGUGGGCAUGUUUCUCUUGGAAUCAGAGAGGGACCCAGCCCCAUUUGCCCCUGAGAGCUGCUUGCCCAUGCACAGGGCUGCCUGGCACCUGUGCGGGUGGUGAUUCCUAGAGGCUCCAUCCUGGACCCAUCCUCAGAGGCAGCGGUGGUGGGCGGCAACGUGCUCACGUCACAGCGUGUGGUGGACGUCAUCCUGGCGGCCUUCGGGGCCUGCGCUGCCUCCCAGGUGUGAUAGGCAGGCUGGGUGCGGCCCUGGGGGCUUCUGGGAACUCUGGGAGGGCGAGGGCCUGCUGGAAGCGGAUCCCCGCCCCAGCCAGGUACAGUUAAGGCUUGCUCCUGCCAGGGCUGCAUGAACAACGUGACCCUGGGCAAUGCCCAUAUGGGGUACUACGAGACGGUAGCGGGCGGCGCAGGUGCGGGCCCCGGCUGGCACGGACGCAGCGGCGUGCACAGCCACAUGACCAACACGCGCAUCACCGACCCGGAGAUACUGGAGAGCCGGUGAGCUACGCGCGCCAGGGGCUAGGCAGCUAGGAUGGGGCCGAGCUUGGGUUCAGCUGAGCUGAGCCCUUCGUACGCGUA